CUUGGCUUUCUCCAUUUCCUAUCUGUUCCUUACCCCUCACUGUCAGUUAAUUGCAAAACAUCUUUCCAUAGAGCAGAAGCCUUCAUAAGAAAGUCAUAAACCCCCACCCCUGCAGCAGCGAGGUGUUCAGAGCUGCCCAGGAAGGGGUUGGUGUUCUGCUCUGCGCUGUAAGCCCACUAUGGGUUUCUGAGCCCUUUAGCUCUUUGUUGUGGACGAUUCAGGCACAUCUGUGUUGGACCUCAAUCCAGAAAACUUCUGCAAUCAAAGGAAAUGGAGUUGGGUCUCCUGGCUUAGCGAAGCUCAGCACAGAGGUGAGCCCUCCUCAGGAGAGGAUCAUCUAUUGAAUGGACAGUGCCAGCAGGAGCCUCCAUCCUUAGGACAGGCUGUCCACCCGCUCCUUCAGAUGGAGAGAGAUGCUGAGCUGGAGGUGCCCAGAGAGGCCGGAGACCCUGAAUAUUAUCAAAACUUGAAUGUCUAAGGCCCUGAGCAACCUGAGCAAAUUUUGAAGGUCUGAGGCUGGAGUUCCUGGAGUCCCUUCUCGCCUGCGUUACCCUGCCAGGAGUGUUACCGUGGCUGUAAGCUUUCCUCAUUUCUGCACUUUCCCUUAAAAAUAGCAACACUGGUCACAAGGAGACAAAAGAGAGAG